ACCAGACUCCUAGGGAGGCAGCAGUGAGGAAUAUUGGUCAAUGGGCGAGAGCCUGAACCAGCCAAGUCGCGUGAGGGAGUACUGCCCUAUGGGUUGUAAACCUCUUUUGUCGGGGAGCAAAAGCCGGACGUGUCCGUCUGUGAGAGUACCCGAAGAAAAAGCAUCGGCUAACUCCGUGCCAGCAGCCGCGGUAAUACGGAGGAUGCGAGCGUUAUCGGGAUUUAUUGGGUUUAAAGGGUGCGUAGGCGGGGCGUUAAGCCAGGGGAAAAAGUGGGGGGCUCAACUCCGUCGGGCGGUUGAAACUGCCGUUCUUGAGUGAGCGAGAAGUAUGCGGAAUGCGUGGUGUAGCGGUGAAAUGCA
rnacentral:rRNA from 1 species